rnacentral:rRNA from 1 species
UACGGAGGGUGCGAGCGUUGUUCGGAAUUACUGGGCGUAAAGGGCGCGUAGGCGGCCUUGUAAGUCUCGUGUGAAAGCCCUCGGCUUAACUGAGGAUCUGCACGGGAUACUGCGAGGCUUGAGUUCGGGAGAGGAAAGCGGAAUUCCGGGUGUAGCGGUGAAAUGCGUAGAUAUCCGGAGGAGCACCAGUGGCGAAGGCGGCUUUCUGGACCGACACUGACGCUGAUGCGCGAAAGCUAGGGGAGCAAACGGG